GGAGGAGUACAUAUACAGUAGGUUUGCUGCCUAGCGGAAGAAAAUCGAUAACAGUAAGAUUUCUCCUCCUAGAGUUGUGACUGCACUAUUCACACAUACACGCCCACGUGACAUUUCAUUGACGAAGAGUGGUUCAAUGACUACUUGGUUACGCAGUGUCAAAAUUUCCCCUCUCGCGUUCGCUCGGACACGCACACAGCAAACUGCAAGAAUCGAAAGGAACUUGAUUCAUGUUCUGACAGGGCACCAACACUAGCACAUGCAAUUUCUGCUACACAAUAAGGACGAUUCCACCCACAUACGGACCAACACAAACAUACAUUUUCAGGUUGCCAUCUAGUCAAAUUGAAUAAGUGUAAAAAACCAGACAGUGAAUGUUUUCGGUGUUUUCUUUCACUAUUUCCACUCUCGCCGAGAAGUGAAACUUAAAUUAAAAAGCCAAUCAAUGAGCAGAUCUAACGGGGAAUGUCAUUAGCAUCAUCUUCAACUAAAAAAUCGCUUUCCAAUGAAAUCGAACAUCGAAGAUAAAAGCUUGCGUAGCAUCUCCUAUUGACGACCAGAGCAUAACAAAUCGAAGCUGGCCAAGAAUUUCAUCGAGCUGACUGGGCACACAAAGAUGCGAAAGAGAAAAAAAAACACAGAGGUUGUUAAGCAUUGAGUAAACAAAGAAGAACCAGAAACUGGUCGAUGUUUCGGAAAGGUGGCGGCGACGGCUGCGACGAUAGGAAUCUAGCACACGGCACAGCUUUUCUUACCCACUAUUUUCAGAUGUCGUAUCCACUUGUUUGCGUGAACGGAAUCACUGCUUAUUUUGAUGUGACAUCCGCUCACAUCACACAACAGGGACGAACCCCACCGGCACUAAGCGGACUGUCGAAACGUG